AAUGUUGUUGCAAUAGUAAUUGAACUUGGUACGAGAGGAACCGUUCAUUCGGAUAAUUGGUAUUUGGGCUUGCCUGAGCAGGCAAUGGACCAAAGCUAUCAUCCGUUGGGUUAUGGCUGAACGCCUCUUAAUCAGAACCCGUGCUAGAUCGCGACGACUACCGCCUUUUUCAAUUUUUAGUUGAAUACGAAUAGAUCUUCGGAUCCUGAAUCAUACCACAAGGGGUCGAUCUUGCAGAGCGGAAAGACUUUGUGAGGUUCCUCCUAAUGUUAGGUUCAAAUAUUGAAAGAGAUAAAUCCAUUGCAGACGACUUUAAUUGAACGGGAGUAUUGUAAGCAGUACAGUAGCCUUGUUGCUAGUUGCUACGAUCUGCUGAGAUUAAGCCCAUUGUUCUAUAGAUUU
rfam:Mortierella elongata AG-77 unplaced genomic scaffold K457scaffold_3, whole genome shotgun sequence.